UACGUAGGGUGCAAGCGUUGUCCGGAAUUAUUGGGCGUAAAGAGCUCGUAGGCGGUUUGUUGCGUCGGCUGUGAAAACCUGAGGCUCAACCUCAGGCCUGCAGUCGAUACGAGCAGACUAGAGUGUUGCAGGGGAGACUGGAAUUCCUGGUGUAGCGGUGAAAUGCGCAGAUAUCAGGAGGAACACCGGUGGCGAAGGCGGUUCUCUGGGCAUGUCCUGACGCUGAGGUGCGAAAGCAUGGGGAGCAAACAGG
rnacentral:rRNA from 1 species